rnacentral:rRNA from 1 species
CUAGCUGUAAACGAUGGAUACUAGGCGUUGAGAGUAUCGACCCUCUCAGUGUCGUAGCUAACGCGUUAAGUAUCCCGCCUGGGGAGUACGCGCGCAAGCGUGAAACUCAAAGGAAUUGACGGGGGCCCGCACAAGCGGUGGAGUAUGUGGUUUAAUUCGAUGCAACGCGAAGAACCUUACCAGGGCUUGACAUGUCCGGAACCCUGCCCAAAGGCGGUGGUGCCUACGGGAACCGGAACACAGGUGGUGC